rnacentral:lncRNA from 1 species
CUAAAAGCAAAUUAAGAAAUUCAAGAUCGUUCCAAAGUCCUCUGCUUUAAAACUAGAAUAGCAAUCGAUGAUUAACCCAGUUUAUGCUACUCCUUACUUAUGAAGGACUUCAGAAAGAUGUACAAGUAAAUCUAUCGAAAUAAUGCAGCAGUAGAUACACAUAUAUAGUUCCCUUAAAAUAUUGUGAAACGUAGGAUUCGCGUUAACAAAUUAAUUAAUUCCAUGUAGAGUAACUUACCUCCCUCAGUUAUCCCGAGUAAUUUCCAUUUUUCUCUAACAUUUCCUCUAUGUUCUUCAUUUACCCUGGGAGAUAUACACGAGCAGUAUCAAGUUCACCCUUAGAUGUUACAAAAAAAAUUCUUCCAUUUUCGUCUCUAACUAGGAUGAAGAUUGUUUGACCAAUUGAUGCUCAACAUCACUUGCUGGUGUCUUACAAUCCAGUUGUCGAACUGGCGACUUCAUUACCUUUAUUCUCUUUCCUUCUCUAACACGAAUGAAGAAAUUUGACUCACUCGGACCCACAAUUUCAAGUUUUAGGUUAUAGUAAACUAACACUAAACGUAUAUUCCUUUAUUUGUUUUCUCGAUUUGUGCAUUUUAGUUGUAGUUUAUAUCUAUUUUUUUUAGACUGUUGCAUGUGGUAUGGUUUAGUGUUAGUUUACUAUAACCUAGAUUAUUGUGGUUUGGGUGAAUGAUGGUAUAGUAAGUUCAUAUCCUCAGGUGGGGCGAGCGACAAAGGAAUAAUGGAACCUCCAAGCUGAGAGUUGGGUCCUAGAACAUAGGUACAUAGAUGGGGAAGUUUAUAGAGAUAGUGAAUAUUCUACGAAAGAGGAAGAUAAUGGUAGGCUAGCUAAAAAUUUGUAUUUUAGUCAUAGUUUGCACUCUAAUCACUGCAUUUUACUUGUGUUUGCGCUUAAAUAAUGGUGGUUUGCGCUUAUUACGUGUUUUAUGCUUUGUAGGAAAUGAUUCCAAGAUAUUAAAAUAAUUUGGAGCUAAUUUAAAUAAGUUGGAGCUUUGGAGUUUGAGUAAAAGACCAAAAAAUUAAAUCGAGAUCACGUUUGGGAGUUGAGAACCAAGUCUGGAUGUCAAAAAGUGAGAAACAAAAAUUGCUCUAAGAAAAUUGCACUACCGCGCCGUGGGGCCAGAGUGCUAGUACAAAAUUCCUACAAAGUGAAAAAAAUCUAGUUUUUGAAAAUCCUCACUAAUGUGGCGUAUGGGGCGCCACGCUAGUGUAUUUUCGCGGUCCAAUUGUCCCACUUCGACUUGGAAAGGAUAGUUUCAUCCGGGCCCCUUACGUUCCUACAUGGUAUAAAUACACCAAAAAUACGAUUUUGAGAGGACGUUUGACCUAGGAAGCUUUGGAGAGCAUUGGUGGCUACAAGACUCAGGAUUUCAUCAUUUUUCCAUCAAUUCAAUACCGAAGUUUGGAUUGUAACGUUAGAUUGAUGCUUCCUUAUUCUUUAAUUAUAUUUGUGAUGACUUCCUCCAUGAUUAUGGAGUAGUUUACCUUAGUGUUUGACAAAAAUGGUAUUCUGAUAAAUAUUUUUGGAUUUUAACUCUAAUUCUUGCUUGAAUUCGUUUAUGGAGUUUUGAAUUGUUGCAACUUUAUUCACC